rnacentral:rRNA from 2 species
AAACUUCUUUAUCACCGAGUGCUUGCACUCACCGAUAAAGAGUUGAGUGGCGAACGGGUGAGUAACACGUGGGCAACCUGCCCAAAAGAGGGGGAUAACACUUGGAAACAGGUGCUAAUACCGCAUAACCAUAGUUACCGCAUGGUAACUAUGUAAAAGGUGGCUAUGCUACCGCUUUUGGAUGGGCCCGCGGCGCAUUAGCUAGUUGGUGAGGUAAAGGCUUACCAAGGCAAUGAUGCGUAGCCGAACUGAGAGGUUGAUCGGCCACAUUGGGACUGAGACACGGCCCAAACUCCUACGGGAGGCAGCAGUAGGGAAUCUUCCACAAUGGGCGAAAGCC